rnacentral:tRNA from 1 species
GGGUAGGUGGCGGAAUUGGUAGACGCAGCACACUCAAAAUGUGCCGGUUUUAACCUUGAGGGUUCGAUCCCCUCUCUACCCA